UACGUAGGUGGCAAGCGUUGUCCGGAUUUAUUGGGUUUAAAGGGUGCGUAGGCGGUUUUCUAAGUCAGUGGUGAAAUACGGCAGCUUAACUGUCGAGGUGCCAUUGAUACUGGGAGACUUGAAUACUGUGGAGGUAAGCGGAAUAUAUCAUGUAGCGGUGAAAUGCUUAGAUAUGAUAUAGAACACCAAUAGCGAAGGCAGCUUACUACGCAGUUAUUGACACUGAGGCUCGAAAGCGUGGGGAUCAAACAGG
rnacentral:rRNA from 1 species